UCGAUUGCUACUGAAUGCUCACUUAUUUCUCAUAGCCGAUAGACCUAUAAUUUCCUGCAAUCUUGCGUAUAUUUCAUAGUGCGUUAAGAAUACCGCCCGCCGGAUAUUAAAACAGGAGUUUUCCUCUGACGAAUGCAUUUCGGCUAUUCAAUGCACCUCCUGGCUUCCACGCUUUUUUCUUUUGCACUGAUAUAUGGCCGAGGAGAACCAAGUGAUGUUACGGACGUCCAAUUUUACAAGAACACGUGUAAGUAUGGCAACAAAUUUUUUGUGGAUGUGAACUACCCUGAGCAACAGUGCAAAAGAGUCACCUGCAAAGCACACGACAGAGUUCUUUCUGUCGAACGGUGCCUGCAAACAACGGUGCGUGAUCCAUCAUGUCACCUCGUAACAGGCAGGGAAAAUCUAAAGUUUCCAUUUUGCUGCCGAAUUUACAUCUGCGGC